rnacentral:rRNA from 1 species
GAUGAAUGCUGGCUGCGUGCUUAACACAUGCAAGUCGAACGGUGAAAGGGAGCUUGCUUCCUAAAGUCAGCGGCGGACGGGUGAGUAACACGUGGGCAACCUGCCCCUAAGAUCGGGAUAACUUCGGGAAACCGGAGCUAAUACCGGAUAUGAUUAUAUCUCACAUGAGACAUAAUGGAAAGACGGUUUCGGCUGUCACUUAGGGAUGGGCCCGCGGCGCAUUAGCUAGUUGGUGAGGUGACGGCUCACCAAGGCGACGAUGCGUAGCCGACCUGAGAGGGUGAUCGGCCACACUGGGACUGAGACACGGCCCAGACUCCUACGGGAGGCAGCAGUAGGGAAUCUUCCGCAAUGGACGAAAGUCUGACGGAGCAACGCCGCGUGAGUGAAGAAGGUUUUCGGAUCGUAAAACUCUGUUGUUAGGGAAGAACAAGUAUUAUAGUAACUGAUGGUACCUUGACGGUACCUAACCAGAAAGCCACGGCUAACUACGUGCCAGCCGCCGCUGUAACAC